CCCUAAACGUUAUGUUACCAUGGCAACUCUAAAGUUAUACAACUUUCAACGGAAAAGAAACUUUGACCUCAGAUUCAUUAACCAAUGAGAGAGAAGCUGAAUUUGCCGGUGGACCGAUCAGCUUUGUGUCAGGUCGACAACUGUAUCUUCCUCUCAUCCUCUCAUUCAGCACAGAUCAGAAGCAGGUGUCAAAUGCCAUUGCAUUGAAGGUGUGAUUACUUUGGAUUACAGAAAGAGACUUGAAAUGAGUGGAAGAAGGAGGGGGCAGCCCAACAGAGGUGGAGGGCGAUUUAACAAGCCCAGAGGAGGAGGAAGAGGGGGAGG